UACGGGGGGGGCAAGCGUUGUUCGGAAUUACUGGGCGUAAAGGGCUCGUAGGCGGCCAACUAAGUCAGACGUGAAAUCCCUCGGCUUAACCGGGGAACUGCGUCUGAUACUGGUUGGCUUGAGUCCGGGAGAGGGAUGUGGAAUUCCAGGUGUAGCGGUGAAAUGCGUAGAUAUCUGGAGGAACACCGGUGGCGAAGGCGGCAGCCUGGACCGGUAUUGACGCUGAUGAGCGAAAGCCAGGGGAGCAAACGGG
rnacentral:rRNA from 1 species